rnacentral:lncRNA from 1 species
AAUAAAAAAGUUGGCAAAUAUAGAGUCUAGGUCUCCUUUUAUUUUAUUAAUAAAUAAUAAAUUAGUUGUAUAGCCUCUUUUUUUAUUAAUGAGGUCUGUUCUUGCACAAUUUAGGUUGGAUUCUUCUUCUAGUUAAAAGAGAACACUACUUUUCCGAAAUAGACAUGAUCAAUGAAAAUAAAGUCCACAGAACUUGUUGGCCAAUGGUAGCUCCACCAUUUCAUGCACUUCUCUUCAGCUCAUUAAGAGCGGGAUCAAGAAGGCAUUAAGAGAUGCUCUUGGCCCAACCCUAGACACGAUAACAUCCUUUUUCAAACCUGCUCCCACUUAACUGCUUUCCUACAAAAGUUUAGGCAAUUUUGGAGUUUUGUGGGUAGAGCAAUUUGUAUUUCAUGUUAUGAUUAGUUCGAUUUUGAUUAAAUUAAGUGAAGGAGUAUUAGCUAUGAAAUAUUAUCGUACAAUAUAAUUAUUUGUUUAUUAGUUAAUGUGGAAGUUCAACUUGAUAUCAGGUAGUGUGAUACUACUACUUCUAGCUUGAAGUUAACUAUAUUGGUGACAAGUUAGGAUUCAUUCAUAAGUUGUUUUAAGGCUUGGAUUUUAUAUUCUUCGAGAUUGAAAUAUGUAUGACAAUUAUGCAUGAAACUAUUAUAUAGAAGAAAAAUAUAUUUAAGAAUGAAAUUUAAGAGUUUUUUCUUUGUUUUACUUGGAACUCGAAUCUCUUAAGAAAAUUUAGAAAAAAUAAAAAAGUUGGCAAAUAUAGAGUCUAGGUCUCCUUUUAUUUUAUUAAUGAAUAAUAAAUUAAUUGUAUAGCCUCUUUUUUAAUUAAUGAGGUCUGUCCUUGCACAAUUUAAGUUGGAUUCUUCUUUUAGUUAAAAAAGAAUACUACUUUUCCGAAAUAGACAUGAUCAAUGAUAAUAAAGUCCACAAAACUUGUUGGCCAAUGGUAGCUCCACCAUUUCAUGCACUUCUCUUCAACUCAUUAAGAGCGGGAUCAAAGAAGGCAUUAAGAGAUGCUCUUGGCCCAAUCCUAGACACGAUAAUAUCCUUUUUCAAACCUGCUCCCACUUUACUGCUUUACUACAAAAGUUUAGGCUAUUUUGGAGUUUUGUCGGUAGAGCAAUUUAUAUUUCAUGUUAUGAUUAGUUCAAUUUUGAUUAAAUUAAGUGAAGGAGUAUUAGCUAUGAAAUAUUAUCGUAUAAUAUAAUUAUUUGUUUAUUAGUUAAUCUGGAAGUUCAACUUGAUAUCGGGUACUGUGAUACUACUUCAAGCUUGAAGUUAACUAUAUUGGUGGCAGGUUAGGAUUCAUUCAUAAGUUGUUUGAGGCUUGGAUUUUAUACUCUUCGAGGUUGAAAUAUAUAUAUGACAAUUAUGC